AGUGAACGCUGGCGGCAGGCCUAAUACAUGCAAGUCGAACGGCAGCACAGCAGAGCUUGCUCUGUGGGUGGCGAGUGGCGGACGGGUGAGGAAUACGUGGGAAUCUGCCCAGUCGUGGGGGAUAACGUAGGGAAACUUACGCUAAUACCGCAUGCGCCCUUCGGGGAAAGCCGGGGACCUUCGGGCCUGGCGCGAUUGGAUGAGCCCACGUCGGAUUAGCUAGUUGGCGGGGUAAAGGCCCACCAAGGCGACGAUCCGUAGCUGGUCUGAGAGGAUGAUCAGCCACACUGGAACUGAGACACGGUCCAGACUCCUACGGGAGGCAGCAGUAGGGAAUAUUGGACAAUGGGCGCAAGCCUGAUCCAGCCAUGCGCGUGAGUGAAGAAGG
rnacentral:rRNA from 1 species